UACGGGGGGGGCAAGCGUUUGUUCGGAAUUACUGGGCGUAAAGGGCUCGUAGGCGGCCAACUAAGUCAGACGUGAAAUCCCUCGGCUUAACCGAGGAACUGCCUGUCAGACUGGAAGGCUUGAGACCGGGAGAGGUGAGUGGAAUUCCCAGUGUAGCGGUGAAAUGCGUAGAUAUUGGGAGGAACACCUGAGGCGAAGGCGGGCUACUGGGCCGAUACUGACGCUGAUGCGCGAAAGCCAGGGGAGCGAACGGG
rnacentral:rRNA from 1 species